UUCGUACUCCCUCCGUCCGGAAAUACUUGUCAUAGAAAUGGAUACAAAUGGAUGUAUCUAGAACUAAAAUACAUCUAGAUACAUCCAUUCGGCGGACAAGUAUUUUCGGACGGAGGGAGUAUUAG
rfam:Triticum aestivum genome assembly, contig: Triticum_aestivum_CS42_TGACv1_scaffold_061236_1DL